UUAUAUCCUCUACCAUCAGCUUUUCUGAUUUCACAGGGUAGUCUCUCCAAAAUGUGUUAAAUUCAAGUACAUUUUACUUUAUUUGUCUUAUUUUUAACAGGAUAGGAAAAACUUGUUGGAGACCCGAUUGCACAUCACUGGCAGAGAACUGAGGUCCAAAAUAGCUGAAACCUUUGGACUUCAAGAAAAUUAUAUCAAAAUUGUCAUAAAUAAGAAGCAACUACAACUAGGGAAAACCCUUGAAGAACAAGGCGUGGCUCACAAUGUGAAAGUGAUGGUGCUUGAACUAAAACAGUCUGAAGAGGAUGUGAGGAAAAACUUCCAGUUAGAGGAAGAGGAACAAAAUGAGGCCGAACUCAAAGAAAAACAAAUUCAGAGGACCAAGAGAGGACUAGAAAUACUGGCAAAGAGAGCAGCUGAGACGGUGGUGGAUCCAGAAAUGACACCGUACUUAGACAUAGCUAACCAGACAGGCAGAUCAAUCAGAAUUCCCCCAUCAGAAAGAAAAGCCCUUAUGUUAGCUAUGGGAUAUCAUGAGAAGGGCAGAGCUUUCCUGAAAAGAAAAGAAUAUGGAAUAGCCUUGCCAUGUCUGUUGGACGCUGACAAAUAUUUCUGUGAGUGUUGCAGAGAGCUGCUGGACACAGUGGAUAACUACGCCGUCCUCCAGCUGGAUAUAGUGUGGUGUUACUUCCGCCUAGAACAACUGGAAUGCCUCGAUGAUGCAGAAAAAAAAUUAAACUUGGCCCAGAAAUGCUUUAAAAAUUGUUAUGGAGAAAAUCAUCAGAGACUGGUCCACAUAAAAGGAAAUUGUGGGAAAGAGAAGGUACUGUUUCUAAGACUCUACUUACUUCAAGGUAUCCGAAACUAUCACAGUGGAAAUGAUGUAGAGGCUUGUGAGUAUCUUAACAAGGCACGUCAGCUCUUUAAAGAGCUAUAUAUUGAUCCGUCAAAAGUGGACAAUUUGUUGCAGUUGGGGUUUAC
rnacentral:sRNA from 1 species